GCCUGUGCUGACCCACAACCUUCACCUCUGGUGGUAUCCUCCCGGCCCCAGCAACCUGCACCUCCAGCCCCCAGCAUCGCCCGACACCUUCUUUCAGCACCUAUUCUUCCUGUGGAUGCCCUACCGCAUGUGGGCCUACAAGCUCUCCUGCCCGUCGUGCAGCCACAGGUUGUUGGGAGCUGGACGACUCUACAGGACUGGAGGGUCCUGGACACAGAUGGAUGGUACUUUAUGGCCACGAAGAACCUGGAGUGCUGGCGCUGCAGGAAGCAGGCUGGUCGCACAAUAUCCUGGAUUAGCUGGACCCUGCCCAUCGGGAUGAGUUUCCAGUCAUCCUGACUUACAGGUCAGACAAGAGGUCUCCAAUGGCCAGGUCAACUCUCCAGAGGUAGGCAGGCACACACGGGCAGCCCUGAUGUCUCUGUUCUCUCUAACAUAGGUUAUCCUGUGACAAGAAGCUCAUUGGGCAGAUGUGCAAGCGCACGCUGGGCAACGGGGCCAACCAGCUGCGCACAUAUCUGCUCGAUGAGCACACCAGGUCCUGGAUGUCACGGUUGCUGUUCGUGUACGCCAGGGAGGUGGCUUCGCGGCUAGAGGAGGCCAAGGCCCGGAUCACCUCCAUCUUUGGCUCAAUCUUGAAGAUGGACUCAACCAAGAAGCUUUGGACCUGACAAUGGCCAACCUGGUCAAUCUGGCUUGCAGUCUCGUGGAGCUCCAUCACCAUGCCUACGUGAUGCGGAGCCAAGUGAUGGAGAUCAUCGCCCUCUGGGUACGAUUGCUGGAGGGUGACAGGGCCCUGAUUCAGUUCCCGCUAUGGCACCAGGAAAGAUUGGUGAAGGUGCAGGGUCGGCCAAGGCAGCCAAGCUGUACAGAUGUCUAACGUUAACCGCCAUGUGGAGGCCAUUUGUAUCCAGCUGUCCAGGAUAAACCCCAUGGGAACCAUCAUCUGCGGUGUGAGGGUGAACCACUGGGCAGCCAUCAUGAGGGAUUACAUUAGCAUUCAAAAGAAAUGUUCUCACAAACCCGGUACUCCUGGCCCAGACACGUAUUUAGCUCUUCCCCCUCAAUCAGCACAAUGCUAAGUACACACUAGACGAGUGGGGUCCCCUUUGCCCCAUCCUUCCCUAUCUGACUUCCUUUGCUUUGUGUUCCUGCAGGCACUACACUCACACCAGGGACCUGGUACGCCAGGCUCUGGAGAAGGCUGUGUUGUUGCCGAGCACCUUGGCCGUGGCUUCAGAGCCCACCCCUGCCGUGCACCCGUGGCCCAUGGACCCAAAGCAGUCCACCACACAGGAUUUUUUUGUUCCCUGAAUUUCCAGAUCUGUUCCGUCAGGUGACACUUUGAGCUUGGGGCUCUGUGGAUGCAGCACCAUCCUUCAUUGGGCAUCCCCCCCUCCCCAAUCCCAUAUGAAGCAUCCACCACCCAGCCACUCCCCCUGCCAGCCAACACUGCUGUUCCUCCGCUUCCACCGCCACAACCUCCUGUACCCCGCACCACUACCUGGCGGCACAGGAAGAAGCAGGAGGUGGAGGAGCUGCUGCACCAGCAAGGUAUUCCCCCCUCAAACAAAGGAAGAAGGUGGAGGGCUUUGUUUGCCAGCGCUGUGGCUGUCCUAAAACGAAGGAGUUCAGUCACAGGUGCUUUGGGGGAAUCCUUUUGCUUCAUUGUGGCUGGCAAAAGUGUACAGGAGUGGCUGAAGGAAUAAAGGAGGGAGAAUCAUGAUAGUGUUGUCGGGGGGGAUGAAUGCCCAUUAAAGGCUUUUUUUAAAUUUUAUUUAUUUAAUCUGUAGUUGGGCCCACACUUAACAUUUUUUAGUUCACAAGGAUGCCUGCUUAAGGUUUUGUUAAUCUGUAUAAGUGACUGGCACUUUAUAUUUUGGCAGGCCUCCUCCUCUCAAUUUUCUUUUUUAAUUUUAGGCUUCAUCUGCAGGUUAUGACACUGACUGAAAACCUUUUGUUUUCUAAUUAUUGAUUUAUUUAUUUAAACAAUAUAUUUAUUGUAAAUAACUGCCUUUUGUAUUCUGUUUAAUGUAUGUAUGUAGUUUUCCUAAACCUUGGAUUGUUGUUUGAUAUUUAUUUAUUGUAUGCACAUAGUUAUUUAUUCAUAAACUUUGGAUUGUUGAGUGAAUCGUUGUGUCUGUCUGCACGCCACACCGAUUGGGUGUCCACCACUUUAAGGGCGCUCUAUUUGUCUUCCCGCGGCCACGUCGCCCUGCUCCGCCGGCAGCCCUCUUUCUUAACGAAGAUUGGCUUACAUUUUUUGCAGAGUGUGUACUCUCCAUCUUUGUCUUCUCUUUCCAUCUCUAAAGAUGUACUCACCAUACUGUAUCCAGAACUGUGUCAGAAUGUAAAGGAAGGCCCACUCUUCACCACACCAUUACAUGCAUCACUUUUGCGACAAGUGCAAAGGUGGCUUCAACAUGUACUAAAUGUAUGAAAAUUUCUCUCGGUAUACCACCCACUUACCACUGCUUUAAGGCAAUGAAUAACACGACAGAAAAAUCUAAUUUCCAAUUUCCUUUUAAAUUGAACACUCUGUAUUUUAUAUUUAAAUAUGUGCCAGUUUUCCACUGAUUUUUAGCAUACUGGUAAAAUGAUUUUAUAAAAUAUAUGCCAGAACAAGAAAUCAUCCAGUAUACCAGAUCAACCAGCAAUUCACCCAUUCCUAUCUGGAGUUACAAUUAAUGAAAUUAUGCUUUAUGUGGAAAUAUAAUAUUGUGAUUUAGAAAAUCUGAAUGUUCUCAUUAAUAGAAAUUAAAUUAAAUUGUGAUUGUGUCUAUUCACUCCUCUAAAAACAAAAUGAUUACUCAUGGAGUGCUUAAAAGACUUUAAAUACAAGGCAAUGAUUUAAAUUUCUAAUCAAAAGACAUCAGAUCUCUCUAGUUCAAGAAAUACUCCACCACAAAUAAUAUGUUUUGAAUCUGUUACUUCCUCUCCAUGUAUGUAGUCACAGUCAAGAAAACGGAUUGUCAUAAUUUCAUAUAUAACAGAAAUCACAAAAUAUUUGAUUUGGUUUCAAUGCAGGCCCAGCUUGAAAAGCAGCAAACAAUAUUAAACGUCUAUGAAAAAAACUAAAACAAAAUAAACAUUUGGUAUUGUUCAAAAUGGGUCACCAUUCAAGUCCACUGCAUCAGGAAUUUUGUCAUCUCAUUUUCCUGUGAAAAUGUGACAUUGAAAGUUUUUAUCUAACAUCUCUACAAACACUCAGUGCGUUUACAUACACAUAUAUUACGGUAGAAGCUUAGUUUCUUAAUAAUCUGCACUUACAUGUGCAAAUAGUUUUCUAGAGCUCUCCUAUGGCAAACGCUCCAUCAUUAAAGUGAACAAAACAAAAAAAAAAAAAAAGAGUUAAACAGUAUCAUCGGCCACUGUGUAUUCGAAAAUAAGCAUGAAGCCUGUGAUCAUUUUUUUGUAUUUUAUAAUUAUGUUUAGUCAAAUUGAUGCUUUAUUUACUGUAUAGGUUUCUGUUACUGAACUGCCCACAAUACACUCUUUUCUGCCUGGCUGUGCAACUGAGCCCUGCUGAUGGAAUAAUAACAAUGCAGGUAUUUUACUUUCAGUAAGAUAUGCAUUAGGUUACUAAUUACUUUAAAAUAUAAUCUGAUUAUGUAGCACAUUACACUUAACAUGUUACCCUAUUGCUCUUGAGAUUUUGUUGCAGAUUUUAGCACUGUACAACAGCUCAUCAACAUAAAUUUAACAAUUUCUGAAGUGUUAAGACAAAUUACUUCAGCCAGGAGAAGGAAUAAUGCAAUCACUCAAACAUUUGCCUCUGGAAAUGUAUUCUGUGGACAUUUCUACCUGUGGCCGCUGAAAGUUUGUGCAAAGCAAUUA